ensembl:misc_RNA Metazoa_SRP Metazoan signal recognition particle RNA
GCUGGGCGUGGUGGCAGGCGCCUGUAAUCCCAGCUACUCGGGAGGCUGAGGUAGGAGAAUUGCUUGAGCCCAGGAGGCAGAGGUUGCAGUGAGCCAAGAUUGUGCCACUGCACUCCAGCCUGGGCAACACAGCAAGACUCCAUCUCAA